rnacentral:rRNA from 1 species
GAUGAACGCUGGCGGCGUGCCUAAUACAUGCAAGUCGAGCGAACAGACGAGGAGCUUGCUCCUCUGACGUUAGCGGCGGACGGGUGAGUAACACGUGGAUAACCUACCUAUAAGACUGGGAUAACUUCGGGAAACCGGAGCUAAUACCGGAUAAUAUAUUGAGCCGCAUGGUUCAAUAGUGAAAGACGGUUUUGCUGUCACUUAUAGAUGGAUCCGCGCCGCAUUAGCUAGUUGGUAAGGUAACGGCUUACCAAGGCAACGAUGCGUAGCCGACCUGAGAGGGUGAUCGGCCACACUGGAACUGAGACACGGUCCAGACUCCUACGGGAGGCAGCAGUAGGGAAUCUUCCGCAAUGGGCGAAAGCCUGACGGAGCAACGCCGCGUGAGUGAUGAAGGUCUUCGGAUCGUAAAACUCUGUUAUUAGGGAAGAACAAAUGUGUAAGUAACUAUGCACGUCUUGACGGUACCUAAUCAGAAAGCCACGGCCAACUACGUG